rnacentral:rRNA from 2 species
CUUAAAUUGAAGAGUUUGAUCAUGGCUCAGAUUGAACGCUGGCGGCAGGCCUAACACAUGCAAGUCGAGCGGAAACGAGUUAUCAGAACCUUCGGGGGACGAUAA